rnacentral:rRNA from 1 species
AGAACUUAGCAGAGAUGCUUUGGUUCCUUCGGGAACUCUGAGACAGGUGCUGCAUGGCUGUCGUCAGCUCGUGUUGUGAAAUGUUGGUUAAGUCCCGCAACGAGCGCAACCCUUAUCCUUUGUUGCCAGCGGUCCGGCCGGGAACUCAAAGGAGACUGCCAGUGAUAAACUGGAGGAAGGUGGGGAUGACGUCAAGUCAUCAUGGCCCUUACGAGUAGGGCUACACACGUGCUGCAAUGGCGCAUACAAAGAGAAGCGACCUCGCGAGAGCAAGCGGACCUCAUAAAGUGCGUCGUAGUCCGGAUUGGAGUCUGCAACUCGACUCCAUGAAGUCGGAAUCGCUAGUAAUCGUAGAUCAGAAUGCUACGGUCGAAUACGUUCCCGGGCCUUGUACACACCGCCCGUCACACCAUGGGAGUGGGUUGCAAAAGAAGUAGGUAGCUUAACCUUCGGGAGGGCGCUUACCACUUUGUGAUUCAUGACUGGGGUGAAGUCGUAACAAGGUAAGCGUAGCGAG